rnacentral:lncRNA from 1 species
UUAUAGCGAAGGACUCUCGCCAUGUUGCCCAGACUCAUCUCAAACUACUGGACCCAGACAAUCCUCACACUUUGGCCUCCCAAAAUGCUGAGAUUACAGCUUACCUAAAGUUAACAUCUGAUGACAUGAUCGCAACUCCAUAUCCUGAGUUGAUUUCAACCUAUGAUGUUGGAAUUUUCCACAUGGAGAUAAACACUGGGAAGCAGCUAAUCAUUCUCUCUGGAUUUAUAAGGAACAAAUGGAUAAGUGAAACUUGAAAACAAUGGCCAAAGUACUAAGAACUAAUGUUUCUUCAACAAAACAAAUACUUUUACUUUAAGAACAGAAGAUAAAAGGCCAAAGUUGUAAUAUAAGACAAAUUACGGAAAUAUACACUUAUACAUAUAAAACCACUCCUCUUUUUAAAAAAUCAUGCUUUUUAAGAAGAAUCUUCUCAUAUCAGUGAGAAAGAAAGUUAUCUUAACAAACAAAAAGUAUUUUGAAAAAAAGCGUUCACAUGUAUAAGAAAGAAAAUGAACAAAUAAAUAGGAAAAAAGAUCUCUGGUUCAACCAUAUCAAA